rnacentral:snRNA from 1 species
GACACUCAUCAAUGGACAACUAU